GCUCAAGUAAUCCAACGGCAGAGAUAACGGACUUAAAAUCCGUAAAGUACGAGUUCGAAUCUCGUCUUGAGCA
rnacentral:tRNA from 1 species